GCGGGUUCCCACAGCUACGAAACAACUCGUUUAUUUUCUUCCUUUACAAUUACUUUUUUCAAAUCUUAUUUAUUAAUUUAAUUAAUUAGCUCGUGUGUUUUUUCAUUGAAAUUGUCUCUUUACUUUUCCUUUUUUUUCUUCUUCUUCUCAAGUCUAACUCCUAAGCAUUUACAUAUGUACUUUUGUCGUAUGAAAUCAAGUAAGUAGCAUUUUUUAGGAUUUUCGCUUUCUGUUUAUCAAUAAUAAAACAAUUUUUUUUUUACAUUUUCUAAGUUAUUUCCUCUCUCUUUUUUUUUUCCUAAGCACAAAGUAUGUGUUUUUCUAUAAAACCGACAAUUUUUUUUCUUAAUGUUAAAAAGGUUAACUUGUGAGAACAACAACAAUAUACAGUAUGUGGAAAUUCCCUUCGCAGAUUAAACGUUU
rnacentral:lncRNA from 1 species